rnacentral:rRNA from 1 species
AAAUUGAAGAGUUUGAUCAUGGCUCAGAUUGAACGCUGGCGGCAGGCCUAACACAUGCAAGUCGAACGGUAACAGGAAGCAGCUUGCUGCUUUGCUGACGAGUGGCGGACGGGUGAGUAAUGUCUGGGAAACUGCCUGAUGGAGGGGGAUAACUACUGGAAACGGUGGCUAAUACCGCAUAACGUCGCAAGACCAAAGAGGGGGACCUUCGGGCCUCUUGCCAUCAGAUGUGCCCAGAUGGGAUUAGCUAGUUGGUGA